CUAAGUGGCGGACGGGUGAGUAAUGUAUAGUUAAUCUGCCCUUUAGAGGGGGAUAACAGUUGGAAACGACUGCUAAUACCCCAUACUCCUUUUAUCUUAAUGGUAAUUGGGAAACGUUUUUUCGCUAAAGGAUGAGACUAUAUGGUAUCAGGUAGUUGGUGGGGUAAGAGCCUACCAAGCCAAUGACGCCUAGCUGGACUGAGAGGAUGAUCAGCCACACUGGAACUGAGACACGGUCCAG
rnacentral:rRNA from 1 species